rnacentral:rRNA from 1 species
UACAGAGGUCUCAAGCGUUGUUCGGAUUCAUUGGGCGUAAAGGGCUCGUAGGCGGUUUGUCGCGUCGGGAGUGAAAACCCAGGGCUUAACCCUGGGCUGGCUUCCGAUACGGGCAGACUAGAGGUAUGCAGGGGAGAACGGAAUUCCUGGUGUAGCGGUGAAAUGCGCAGAUAUCAGGAGGAACACCGGUGGCGAAGGCGGUUCUCUGGGACGGUACUGACGCUGAGACGCGAAAGCGUGGGGAGCGAACAGG